GUCGCAUUGAAAAGACAGGUGCCAUUAUCAUUGGAACUAGGACUCAAUGAAAUUUGGGGCUUUGUCAAUCGCUCUGCAUGAAAGAGUUCUACCCUGGAGAUAUCAAAAAGGAGAGGAAAUCAGUGAUUUGGGAUAUUCUCCAUCCAGUUCCAUCUGCUAACAUUACCUGAGUCUGCACAUCUAGAGCUACAAAGGGGUGGAGUGUUCAGGUCAGAAAAACCUCCUUCUACACAAAUAGAAGUAUGUAAGAAGGGCAAUAGAUUCUGGCUUCUCAGGUUCCAUAUGUGAAAGAGUGCCAUUAUAUUUGUGGGACAGAGAGUGAUAGUGCCCAUGGGAGUCGUGUUUACCUUCAACCAUUCUGGGAAAUAAUUUACCUGUUCUAGGUUGCUGCUGAUCAGAAAAGGAUGGUAGGAAAAGGGCAUUUAUUUACAAAUAGUGGCACUCUGCUCUAGGGACAAGGAAAAGGAUAAGAUUUCUUCCUUAUAAGCUUAAGAUGUCCCAUCAUAUGAGAAAUCAAUUAGCCUUAGCUAGAUACACUUGGGAUUCUAGUAUGUUAGAGAUGAAAGGAACCUGAAAAACAACAACUCAUCCAAUUCAAAGAUUCUUUCUGAAACAUCUCAUCUGAACUUUAUUUGAAUACAUUAAAACAUGGAGUCCAUGACCUCACAAAGCACUCCAUUCCAAUUUGAAAUAAGUUUAGUUGUUAGAAAGUUCUUUUUUUUUUUUUACAUUAAAUCAUUAUAACAUAUAGGAUUAUAAAUAUAAGGAAGGGAUAGAAGAUAUUUAGACCAAUCCCCUCAUUUGAUUUAUAGGAAACUGAGUCUCCCAAAAGCUCAAGUGAUUUAUCUGAGCUACAUAAAUGUUAAAGGAAAGAAUCAUGAUUUAUAAGAGUCAUACUAUUAUAGGUAAUCCCCCAAAAGUUCCCUGACUGAAUUCUCCCAGAAUGUGUGGGAUAAGUAUAUAUUCUUAUACGUAGUAUACCAUCUUGGGUAGGCCUGCUUUUGCCUUGAUCCAUUGGUUUCUAUCUUCAUCCCUAUUCUAUCCUUGGCCUGAUUUUCUAUUUUCUAAUAGACACAGUUUCACUUGGUGAUUUUUCUCUCCAUUUUCAUUCAUUUGUCCCUUUAUUAAGUAAUAGUGCAUACUCUUUUCUCCAAAUUCUCCCAUUUUUCAUCUUGUAUUAUUUAAUAAACUUUUUUUUCAGAUUUCUUAAUAUACAUAAUAUUUGACAUUGAUUAUAUUAUCAUUUUUGUUAUAUUAAUAUACCUUAAUUUAAUCUACCAAAGCCCACAGUUGGUGAACAUUUAAAUUGUUUCCUUUUCGUGAUUAUCUAUAAUUCUUCUAUGUCAGUCUUACUAGAAAUAGCUUUUUUUUUUUUUUU